GCCAGGCAUGGAGGUGCAUGCCUGUAGUUCCAGCUACUCGGGAGGCUGAGAAGGGAGGAUUGCUUGAGCUCAGGAGUUGGAGGUUGCAGUGGGCUAUGGUUGCACCACUGCACUCCAGCUUGGGCAACAGAGCAAGACCCUGUCUCAA
rfam:Homo sapiens chromosome 16, GRCh38 reference primary assembly.